CAUUUUCAUCUUUGUGUCCUUAGUACCUACCAUGGUUCUUCGCACCUAAUGGAAUUUCAGUCCUGUGCCAUGGAAGCCUUGAAUUCCAGUGCCCGUUACUUCUUCUGCUGCCAGUGGCUCCCAUUUGUGUUCUCUCCUGUGGCAUCGGAUUCGAUGCAGAAAUGGGAUACCUGUGUACUCAUCAGCUCCUAUUCCUCCAGCUCAACCAAAGUUCUUUUAACAGUAAAAACCAAUAUGCAAAGAAGAGGAGGAAGAGAUGGAACCAUCAAGCCCUUCUGGGCUCAGAAUAUGUGUGUGUGAGCGCACAUACACAGGUGCAUGCAGCUUUGCAAUAUAAGAUUAAACUGUACAAUGUUCUAUAAUCUC